GAUAAAAGAGGAUAAAGGAGUCGGUACCUGUUCUCUUGGAUUCUAGCCAAAGUUCGGAGACCAUAGAGCUCUUAUCAGUUCUCAGUUUUUCAUAAUAAGAAAUCAGAAAUGGCCAAGUCAGGAUGUCCUUUCCAAGUGUAAAUGAGGAUGAAAAAUGCAUACCAACCCUUCCAUGAGGAACCUAUGAGUGGAAAUAAGUUUGGACAACCCCGACUGAGACCACAGAUGAAAUGGGCCACCUGAAAGUCACUAAUGGAGAAUGGGGUGGUGAGCCAGAAGCCAUCAUGAAAACAAGCACAUUUUGCACAAAUUGCUGGGGAGAAGACUUGCAAAGCAGAGGUUGUCUCUCCUCCCAUGAUCUCCAGAUGAGUCAGAAAAGUGGUUCUUCAACAAACACAUAAUGAACAAACACUGAACUCCAUUCAGUGCAGUCUUUUCAUUUGCUGGUGUCAGGAACCAUCCUCUUGUGAGAAUGCUACACAUGUACCUGUGCCUAGAAGCCUACUGCCUGGUGUCCCCUGAAUGUCCCUAAAAUAAA